CAGUAGCCGCGGGAAUACGGAGGGGGCUAGCGUUGUUCGGAAUUACUGGGCGUAAAGCGCACGUAGGCGGCUUGGUAAGUUAGAGGUGAAAGCCUGGAGCUCAACUCCAGAAUUGCCUUUAAGACUGCCGAGCUAGCAGGUGAGAGGGGUAAGUGGAAUUCCGAGUGUAGAGGUGAAAUUCGUAGAUAUUCGGAAGAACACCAGUGGCGAAGGCGGCUUACUGGCUCAUACUGGACGCUGAGGUGCGAAAGCGUGGGGAGCAAACAGGAUUAGAUACCCCCGUAGUCCCUGUCUCUUAUAC
rnacentral:rRNA from 1 species